UCCCUCAAGGACUAGCGGUUAGGUUACAGCACUCUCAGCACUGCAGCCUGGGUUCGAUUCCCACCCAGGGAA